rnacentral:rRNA from 1 species
AUUGAACGCUGGCGGCAUGCCUUACACAUGCAAGUCGAACGGUAACGCGGGGCAACCUGGCGACGAGUGGCGAACGGGUGAGUAAUACAUCGGAACGCGCCCAGUAGUGGGGGAUAGCCCGGCGAAAGCCGGAUUAAUACCGCAUACGACCUACGGGUGAAAGCGGGGGAUCGCAAGACCUCGCGCUAUUGGAGCGGCCGAUGUCAGAUUAGCUAGUUGGUGGGGUAAAAGCCUACCAAGGCGACGAUCUGUAGCUGGUCUGAGAGGACGACCAGCCACACUGGGACUGAGACACGGCCCAGGCUCCUACGGGAGGCAGCAGUGGGGGAAUUUUUGGACAAUGGGGGGCAACCCUGAUCCAGCCAUGCCGCGUGCGGGAAGAAGGCCU